UUUAGCAAGUAAACUACAAGCAAAGAGCCCUUUAGUUUGUAACCCCGAAACUGAGCGAGCUACUCCAAGACAGCCUAUGUAGGGCAAACCCGUCUCUGUAGCAAAAGAGUGGGAAGAGCUUUGAGUAGAGGUGACAAACCUACCGAGCACAGUUAUAGCUGGUUGCCUGAGAAAUGAAUAGGAGUUCAGCCCUUUAAGUCUUUCCCCGUCACCCAUGCCUAUGCUAAAAUUGAUUAAGAAAACUAAAGGAGUUAAUCAAAAGGGGUACAGCCCUUUUGAUAAAAGAAACAACUUUAACAGGUGACCCAAGAUCAUAUUACCCAAGGAUUUCAAAUUAAGUGGGCCUAAAAGCAGCCAUCUUAUCAGAAAGCGUUAAAGCUCAAAUUAAACACCAUCCUCAUAUACUGAUAUUACAUCUCCCUCCCUGCCCUCUACCAGGCUAUCUUAUGCCCCCAUAAGAGUAAUUAUGCUAAA
rnacentral:rRNA from 1 species